rnacentral:misc_RNA from 1 species
GAUGAAGAACGUAGCGAACUGCGAUAAGUAAUGUGAAUUGCAGAAUUCAGUGAAUCAUCGAAUCUUUGAACGCACAUUGCGCCCGCCAGUAUUCUGGCGGGCAUGCCUGUUCGAGCGUCAUUUCAACCAUCAAGCCCCAGGCUUGUGUUGGGGACCUGCGGCUGCCGCAGGCCCUGAAAACCAGUGGCGGGCUCGCUGUCACACCGGGCGUAGUAGAUUUUAUCUCGCUCAGGGCGUGCUGCGGGUUCCGGCCGUUAAAAAGCCUUUUUUACCCAAGGUUGACCUCGGAUCAGGUAGGAAGACCCGCUGAACUUAAGCAUAUCAAUAAGCGGAGGA